rnacentral:piRNA from 1 species
UGACUGUGUUUCUAACCCAUUUUUACAGAG